rnacentral:rRNA from 1 species
GACGAACGCUGGCGGCGUGCUUAACACAUGCAAGUCGAACGGAAAGGCCCUGCUUUUGUGGGGUGCUCGAGUGGCGAACGGGUGAGUAACACGUGAGUAACCUGCCCUUGACUUUGGGAUAACUUCAGGAAACUGGGGCUAAUACCGGAUAGGAGCUCCUGCUGCAUGGUGGGGGUUGGAAAGUUUCGGCGGUUGGGGAUGGACUCGCGGCUUAUCGGCUUGUUGGUGGGGUAGUGGCUUACCAAGGCUUUGAAGGGUAGCCGGCAUGGGAGGGUGACCGGCCACAUUGGGACUGAGAUACGGCCCAGACUCCUACGGGAGGCAGCAGUGGGGAAUAUUGCACAAUGGGCGGAAGCCUGAUGCAGCAACGCCGCGUGCGGGAUGACGGCCUUCGGGUUGUAAACCGCUUUCGCCUGUGACGAAGCGUGAGUGACGGUAAUGGGUAAAGAAGCACCGGCUAACUACGUG